AUGGACGUUAAGACGGCUUUCCUCAAUGGAGAGUUGAAGGAGGAAAUUUACAUGGAUCAGCCAGAUGGUUUUGUAGUACCUGGUCAAGAAGGAAAGGUGUGCAAGUUAUUAAAGUCUUUAUAUGGCCUUAAGCAAGCUCAUAAGGAGUGGCAUGAGAAGUUCGAAAGAACAUUAACUGCUGACGGCUUUGUAGUAAAUGAUGGUGACAAGUGUGUGUACUAUCGCCAUGGUGGGGGCGAAGGAAUUAUUCUUUGUCUGUAUGUCGACGACAUAUUGAUCUUUGGAACCAAACUUGAUUUAAUCAAGGAGGUUAAGGAUUUCUUAUCUCGCUGUUUUGAGAUGAAGGAUCUAGGAGUAGCUGAUGUUAUCUUAAACAUCAAGCUGUUGAGAGAUGAGAAUGGUGGGAUCACACUGCUUCAGUCUCACUAUGUGGAAAAGGUUUUGAGUCGUUUUGGGUAUAGCGACUGCACGCCUUCUCCAACUCCAUAUGAUGCUACGAGUGCCACGAGGCCUGACAUCUCUUUUGUUGUGAGCAAGCUGAGUCGGUUUGUGUCAAAACCGGGAGAUGAUCAUUGGCGUGCGCUUGAGAGAGUUAUGCGCUACUUGAAGGGCACUACGAGCUAUGGGAUUCACUACACCGGGUAUCCAAGGGUACUGGAGGGUUAUAGUGACUCGAACUGGAUAUCUGAUGCUGAUGAGAUUAAGGCCACAAGUGGUUAUGUUUUUACACUUGGUGGUGACACUGCCACUGUUGAAGCAGAGUGGCUUCGUGAGCUAUUGAUGGACUUACCUAUGGUUGAAAAACCAAUACCCCCUAUCCUGAUGAACUGUGAUAAUCAAACUGUGAUCGUCAAAAUAAACAGUUCUAAGGACAAUAUGAAGUCCUCAAGGCAUGUGAAGAGGAGAUUAAAAUCUGUCAGGAAACUGAGAAACUCCGGAGUUAUUACGUUGGAUUAUAUCCAAACAUCGAAAAACUUGUCAGAUCCCUUCACAAAGGGUCUAUCACGUAAUGUGAUAGAUAAUGCAUCGAUGGAGAUGGGUUUGAGACCCACC
rnacentral:rRNA from 1 species